rnacentral:rRNA from 1 species
CCCAGACUCCUACGGGAGGCAGCAGUGGGGAAUAUUGCACAAUGGGGGAAACCCUGAUGCAGCGAUGCCGCGUGGAGGAAGAAGGUUUUCGGAUUGUAAACUCCUUUUAUCAGGGACGAUAAUGACGGUACCUGAAGAAAAAGCUCCGGCUAACUACGUGCCAGCAGCCGCGGUAAUACGUAGGGAGCGAGCGUUGUCCGGAAUUACUGGGUGUAAAGGGAGCGUAGGCGGGACGGCAAGUCAGAUGUGAAAUCCCCGGGCUUAACCUGGGAACCGCAUAUGUGACUGCUUGGCUAGAGUGCGUCAGAGGGAGGUGGAAUUCCACGUGUAGCAGUGAAAUGCGUAGAUAUGUGGAAGAACACCGAUGGCGAAGGCAGCCUCCUGGGACGCAACUGACGCUCAUACACGAAAGCGUGGGGAGCAAACAGGAUUAGAUACCCUGGUA